AGAGUUUGAUCCUGGCUCAGGACGAACGCUGGCGGCGUGCCUAACACAUGCAAGUCGAACGGAGACUUAACGCUGAAUUGAAGAAAGCUUGCUUUAAGAUAUUCUUGUUAAGUCUUAGUGGCGGACGGGUGAGUAACGCGUGAGUAACCUGCCUUUCAGAGGGGAAUAACGGCUGGAAACGGUCGCUAAUACCGCAUAAAGUAUCGAAGCCGCAUGACUUUGAUACCAAAGAUUUAUCGCUGAAAGAUGGACUCGCGUCCGAUUAGAUAGUUGGUGGGGUAACGGCCUACCAAGUCGACGAUCGGUAGCCGGACUGAGAGGUUGACCGGCCACAUUGAGACUGAGAUACGGCCCAGACUCCUACGGGAGGCAGCAGUGGGGAAUAUUGCACAAUGGGCGCAAGCCUGAUGCAGCAACGCCGCGUGAGGGAAGACGGUCUUCGGAUUGUAAACCUCUGUCUUUGGUGAAGAAGAAAGUGACGGUAGCCAAGGAGGAAGCCACGGCUAACUACGUGCCAGCAGCCGCGGUAAUACGUAGGUGGCAAGCGUUGUCCGGAAUUACUGGGUGUAAAGGGAGCGCAGGCGGGACUGCAAGUUGGAUGUGAAAUGUCGAGGCUUAACCUCGGAACUGCAUCCAAAACUGUAGUUCUUGAGUGGAGUAGAGGCAAGCGGAAUUCCGAGUGUAGCGGUGAAAUGCGUAGAUAUUCGGAGGAACACCAGUGGCGAAGGCGGCUUGCUGGGCUCUAACUGACGCUGAGGCUCGAAAGUGUGGGGAGCAAACAGGAUUAGAUACCCUGGUAGUCCACACUGUAAACGAUGAUUACUAGGUGUGGGAGGUCUGACCCCUUCCGUGCCGCAGUUAACGCAAUAAGUAAUCCACCUGGGGAGUACGACCGCAAGGUUGAAACUCAAAGGAAUUGACGGGGGCCCGCACAAGCAGUGGAUUAUGUGGUUUAAUUCGAAGCUACGCGAAGAACCUUACCAGGUCUUGACAUCUUGCGCCAACCCUAGAGAUAGGGCGUUUCCUUCGGGAACGCAAUGACAGGUGGUGCAUGGUCGUCGUCAGCUCGUGUCGUGAGAUGUUGGGUUAAGUCCCGCAACGAGCGCAACCCUUGUUACUAGUUGCCAGCAUUCAGUUGGGCACUCUAGUGAGACUGCCGGUGACAAACCGGAGGAAGGUGGGGACGACGUCAGAUCAUCAUGCCCCUUAUGACCUGGGCUACACACGUGCUACAAUGGACGGUACAACGAGUCGCGAACUCGCGAGGGCAAGCAAAUCUCUGAAAACCGUUCUCAGUUCGGACUGCAGGCUGCAACUCGCCUGCACGAAGUCGGAAUCGCUAGUAAUCGCGGAUCAGCAUGCCGCGGUGAAUACAAUCCCGGGCCUUGCACUCACCGCCCGUCA
rnacentral:rRNA from 1 species